ACGACAGCGACAGCCAGACCCAGGUCCAGGUUAAAGAUCAGCGUGGAAAUCAGCGAGGCUACCCACACCAGCUGGAGGAGAGGAGGGAGGAGACAGGAGCAGGAUCAGAAGGAAGACGGUUCACCACGAUGAUCACUGCCAACACUGCCUGGAACACACAGCGAGCUGCUCGAAGAGAUGACCAAUCUUCAACAAGAUGGUGAGAAUCAUCAGAGCUGAUACCAAACCUGCCAUCUAAGACAAGAGAUUCAAACACAACAGGAGGACGAUAAGGCAAGAACAACAGACGAUAAUGAUACUGACGUUAAGACAAUGGCAAUGUUGGGUUUGGGUGGCACAGUACCUGUGAUUUGACACCAAUGCUAUCCUGGACCAUGCUGCGAGAGAAGGAGCAGCUGACGGAGAAACACUGGAACAUUCCUCCUAUGGUGUUACACAAACCCAGAGCGAGCAGCUCCUGAGGCAGACAGAUGGCAGCAUUUAGAAAAGAUCUCAGGGAUUCUGCUGAUCUCCAGAAUUUGAUCAGUUAUUCUUCAGAAAACUGCGAAG